rnacentral:lncRNA from 1 species
AUGAAGGAAGCGCUCCAUCAGAUAGUCGUCCGCUGCAGUGAGCUGGUUUCCAGCACGAGCCUGCCUAGACUCAGUGUCUCCCGCCUCCAGGGACCCCCAGACUCUCAGCCCCUAGGCACCCUGGGCUAGGGUGGAUGGAAGCUUCUAGGCAUUGUGGGGUCUCUGGCAUCAGAGACACUCCGGGGUCUGGGGACCGAGUUUGGGCCCUGUACCCACCCACUACCAUUUGACAUGGUGAGAGAGAGAGAUGACAAACUCAGGCAGGGAUGGCUUCUCCAGUGCCCACAAUGUGCCAGGACUCUGCUCUGCCACUGCAGGCCUUUCCUCACCCCUCCCUCCCAGACAUCAAGCUCCGGUUUCCAGCUGUGCUCCGUGAAGCCCUCGGGCUCUCUGGUGACAGCCACAGAGCCUCUGAGCAACUUCGCUUUCGGCUAUUUUCCAUGA